CUACGGGUCGCUGCAGUGGGGAAUAUUGCACAAUGGGCGCAAGCCUGAUGCAGCCAUGCCGCGUGUAUGAAGAAGGCCUUCGGGUUGUAAAGUACUUUCAGCGGGGAGGAAGGGAGUAAAGUUAAUACCUUUGCUCAUUGACGUUACCCGCAGAAGAAGCACCGGCUAACUCCGUGCCAGCAGCCGCGGUAAUACGGAGGGUGCAAGCGUUAAUCGGAAUUACUGGGCGUAAAGCGCACGCAGGCGGUUUGUUAAGUCAGAGGUGAAAUCCCCGGGCUCAACCUGGGAACUGCAUCUGAUACUGGCAAGCUUGAGUCUCGUAGAGGGGGGUAGAAUUCCAGGUGUAGCGGUGAAAUGCGUAGAGAUCUGGGGGAAUACCGGUGGCGAAGGCGGCCCCCUGGACGAAGACUGACGCUCAGGUGCGAAAGCGUGGGGAGCAAACAGGAUUAGAUACCCGUGUAGUC
rnacentral:rRNA from 1 species